rnacentral:rRNA from 1 species
UACGUAGGCAGCAAGCGUUGUUCGGAGUUACUAGGGCGUAAAGGUGCGUAGGCGGCCCUGUAAGUAUGGUGUGAAAUCUCCCGGCUUAACUGGGAGGGUGCGCGUAUAGACUUGGCGGGGCUCGAGUGUGGGAGAGGAAAGUGGAAUUCCUGGUGUAGCGGUGAAAUGCGUAGAUAUCAGGAGGAACACCGGUGGUGUAAACGGUUUUCUGGACCAUAACUGACGACUGAGGCACGGAAAGCGAUGG